UAGGGAAUCUUCGGCAAUGGGGGCAACCCUGACCGAGCAACGCCGCGUGAGUGAAGAAGGAUUUCGGAUCGUAACGCUCUGUUGUAAGUCAAGAACUGGUGUGAGAGUGGAAAGUUCACACUGUGACGGUAGCUUACCAGAAAGGGACGGCUAAUUACGUGCCCGCAGCCGCGGUAAUACUUAGGUCCCGAGCGUUGUCCGGAUUUAUUGGGCGUAAAGCGAGCGCAGGCGGUUUGAUAAGUCUGAAGUUAAAGGCUGUGGCUCAACCAUAGUUCGCUUUGGAAACUGUCAGACUUGAGUGCAGAAGGAGAGAGUGGAAUUCCAUGUGUAGCGGUGAAAUGCGUGGAUAUAUGGAGGAACACCGGUGGCGAAAGCGGCUCUCUGGUCUGUAACUGACGCUGAGGCUCGAAAGCGUGGGGAGCGAACAGG
rnacentral:rRNA from 1 species